UAAUAUUGUGUGUAUUCAUUAUUUUGUUUUAUAGAGGAUUCGCCGGAAGAGACCAACGCGAUCCCUUUAACCCAAUCGCAGUCUGAUUUUCCGUUUACAUCUCUUGCUCACUGGUCUCCCUUAACGCUGGAGGGUCCGUCAACGGCCAUUCCAGGCAGAGGAGAAGGCUUGAUUGCGCCAAAGACUCCAGACAUCGAAUCCUUGCUCCGUGGGGAAAUCAUCGAAAACGACGGUGAAUGUCCAACAGGCACCCGCUAUUGGUAGCACUGGACAAGUCGGAUAUCCUUGCUUGGAUCCUUUUAAAGUUGCCCGAUAAACUGCUGAGAGUUGAUCUCUCCUCUUGUCCAAAGGUUUUUCGUUCAUUUUUACUUGUAAUACUGCCACUAGGGUUGAUGUAGUAGCUCCACAACAUAACCUUAAAGCCUGUGACUGGAUCCGGUCUAUUUUCCCAAGUCAUGUUUUUGAAGCAGAUUGGUAAAUAAUGCAUCCGUAAUCAAUAACAGAUGGAAUUAAAGUUAUAAAUAUAUACAUGUAUUGUUUUCAACGUUAACCUAUCAGCCCCCCAAUCAUUACCCCUCAAAGACCUCAUUAUAUUUAACACCUUUUUACUUUUUACCCUAUUUUUUUAUUUUCCGGAAGGAACACUCCUGAAGGAAUAAAUAAAGUACUAUCUAAUCUAAUCUAAUCAAAUCUAUUUUGCUGAUGUGGGUUGACUAGUUCAUAUUUUUAUCAAACCAUAUUCCUAAAUAUUUAAAUACUUGUACCUCUUCUAUAUUUUCACCUUAGAGUUUUUAUUUGGAGCUUGUUUGGUACUUUUGUCUUUGUAAAAUGUAUGACUUUUGUCUUUCCAACAGAGAAUCUUAAACCUCAAGCCGUUCCCCAGUCUUGAACAUUAUUUACCACUUUGUUAGUUUUUUGAUUAUUUCUUUUGACUCUAAAUAAUAUACUAGUCUUUCAUUAAUCUUUUUUUUUUUUCCAUU